rnacentral:snRNA from 1 species
GUGCUCGCUUCAGCAGCACAUAUACUAAAAUUGGAACAAUAUAGAGAAGAUUAGCAUGGUCCCUGCGCAAGGAUGACACGCAAAUUCGUGAAGUGUUCCAUAUUAAA